rnacentral:lncRNA from 12 species
GAGCACUGCUCUCAGCUUGAAAAAGCACAGUUUCAUUUGAGAGGUAUUUUCCUGGAGGCUGUUUGUAACAUAUCUGAACUCAGUAACCUUGGUAGCUUACAUGUUUUUCAGGUGUUUCUAUGCUAUUUCUGUCCUUCUGGAUGAGUGAAGGUUUUGUAACAGUGUUAUGAAUUUUGGCAUUAGGUUUGAUUGUUGAUAAGACAUGUUCCACACAGCCCUGAAGAGAGAUGCCUUGCUCAUUGCCGUCACCAAACAUACUCGUCUGUGGAUGAUGCCAGGAACAGAUUCUUGAGAAGAAACAUGAACCAGACCAUCAGGCGGCCUGAUGAACUUCAUGUUAUAGUGCCCUCUACCAGACAAACCCCAACCCUGGACAACUGAAUGUGAGGUCUUCUGUAGAUAAAGAUUAUUCUGACCAUUGUGCAUGUGAGACUUUUAAAUUGAUUUCCUAUUAAGUUGUUCGUUUUGUAACAUGGACAUGAUAUAACUCACAAAAAGUUGCUUUCUCGAUCUCUAAGAUAUACAAUGGUGCUAUAUUUCACUGGAUUUUUUGUGACAAUCCCAGUUGUUGGAUCUCGAUCUUCAAAGAAAAUUCCAUGGACUGUGUCUUAGGCUAAAGAAUACUGGUGUUAAAGACUAAACUGUGUUAAACCCAUAUAGGGGAUAAUCUGUACUCAGUGAAUUCCUCUCCUAGUUUGUGCUGCGUUUCCAGACUUUUGGCGUUCAAAAUGUUUAAUCCUAUUUGCUCCACUACACUGACGUUUUUGCAUGGCUUUGAUUUCUGGCUGGUUUGAGUGGACUUCACAAGGGGAUAGUGCGAAUCUGAUGCACAGACACACAAAGUAGUUUCAUUGGCGGUAAAAAUAAAUGACUCUUCUGACAGAAAGGAACUAGCUGAAAAGAUCUGGUAAGGAUAUCUAAUUUGUGUAAAUUUGUGGAAAAUAUACAGUAAUUGUGUAGUAUUUUGUCAAUAACACAUUUUGUGGUACUAGAUUAGUUGUAAUAUUAAGGUAACUGAUGCUGACAAAGGAAUUUGAUUAAGUAAAACCAGGUAUCGUCCAUUUUAAGUUUGUGAAAAUGGAGAAUUCAAAGUAUACUAGAGUUACAUUCAUUUAAUUAUUUUUAAAUAAUUUUGUAAAAAUGUUUAAUUUGAAAUGCAUUUUCAUAUUUUUUGACAACCUUUUACAUUUUGAAGACACUUCUGCUGUGUGCUUGUGUUUUCUCAACUGAAUGCUCACAUUAACUUGGCCUUGUAAUGAG